rnacentral:rRNA from 1 species
CACGUAGGGCGCAAGCGUUGUCCGGAAUUAUUGGGCGUAAAGAGCUCGUAGGCGGUCUGUUGCGUCCGCUGUGAAAACUCGGGGCUUAACCCCGAGCCUGCAGUGGAUACGGGCAGACUAGAGGUAGGUAGGGGAGAAUGGAAUUCCCGGUGUAGCGGUGAAAUGCGCAGAUAUCUGGAGGAACACCGGUGGCGAAGGCGGCGUUCUGGACUGUCUCUGACACUGAAGAACGAAAGCCAGGGGAGCAAACGGG